AUUGAACGCUGGCGGCAUGCUUUACACAUGCAAGUCGAACGGCAGCACGGGUGCUUGCACCUGGUGGCGAGUGGCGAACGGGUGAGUAAUGCACCGGAACGUACCCAGUAAUGGGGGAUAACACAUCGAAAGAUGUGCUAAUACCGCAUACGCCCUGAGGGGGAAAGCGGGGGAUCGUAAGACCUCGCGUUAUUGGAGCGGCCGAUGCCGGAUUAGCUAGUUGGUGGGGUAAAGGCCCACCAAGGCGACGAUCCGUAGCUGGUCUGAGAGGACGACCAGCCACACUGGGACUGAGACACGGCCCAGACUCCUGCGGGAGGCAGCAGUGGGGAAUUUUGGACAAUGGGGGAAACCCUGAUCCAGCCAUGCCGCGUGAGUGAAGAAGGCCUUCGGGUUGUAAAGCUCUUUCGCAAGGAAAGAAAACUUACCUACUAAUACUAGGCGAGGUUGACGGUACCUUGAUAAGAAGCACCGGCUAACUACGUGCCAGCAGCCGCAGUAA
rnacentral:rRNA from 1 species